CUAGUACGGUGCCCAAUGCCUGACGCUGAGGAUCACACUUAGGUCACUUAUUAAAUGAUUGCUGAGCUGAAUUAGAUCAUUACUGUAUGUACCCCACUUACUAUCAGGAAAGACAUACGAGAAAAAAGUAUUUUUGCAUAUUCUGGAUUUACUACAUCAGAGGCCUAAUCGGGAGGUCUCAAGUCUCAGGAUGGGUUAGAGUUUGAUCCUAGCCAUUGGCUUGGCAGGCUGGGCUGAGUGGGGUCACAGAGAAUGACAUGAGGGGCCUUCUAGGGAAAGGGAGCCCCAGGGUGUGAGUGAGCAGUGCUGCUGGGCAGGCUGAGUCAGCAUCCUGGACUGUCCAUGGCCUCAGGCCUGAGGAUGCCAUCUUUGGGUGAACGCCUGCUGCUUCCAUAAGCAGAAGGGACACCAUGCACUGAGUCUGUACCUCUGCUGGCAGGUCCUAACAGCUGUUAGUCGGCUCGGGCUGCUAUAACAAAAUACCAUAACUGGGUGGCUUAUAAACAGUUCUAGAGGCUGGAAGUCUGAGAUCAGGGUGCCAGCAUGGUCAGGUCCUGGGGAGGACCCUCUCCCAGGUUGCAGACAGCUGUUUUCUCACUGUGUCCUCACAUGGGGCAGGAGGAGGUGGAGCAGAGCGAGCCCUCUGGGAUCCUUUUAUAAGGGCACUAAUCCCACUUCUGAACACCCCACCCUCAUAACCUAAUCACCUCUCAAAGGCCCCCAACUCCAAAUAGCAUCACAUUGGCGGGGGGGCAUUAGGAUUUCAAUAUAUGAAUUUGGGGGACACAAACAUUCCGUCCAUAACAAGCCCUACUGUGUAAGUACCAUGAUGAUACCAAUCUACGAGAGGAGAGAAUAGUCAGCUCUUGUGUCUUUCUCCACUGUGCUGGGCACUAUACCAAGCAUUCUUAACUGGUUCGGCCCUCAUAAUGAUUCCAUGUGAUGGGUGCCAUCGUUAUUCCCAUUUUACAGAUUAGGAAACUGAGGUCUAGAAAGGUAAAGUUACUGCCAGUAAUUGGGCCUGAACAAAGGCAGGGGGGCUCCAGGGUCUCUGUUCUUACCCACUGCGCUCUACUGCCUCUAGAUGGAAUAAUGAUUGUAAGAGCAAUAAGACCACCUCACAUUUGGAUAAGACCUUUCUGUUCAUACUCAUUUGCAUCCUCUUUUCUCUUGUUAUCCUCACAGUGGCCAGUCAUUACGAUUAGUACCCCUGGCUUACAUUUUGGGAAACAGCUCAUGAGACGGAGGUCCCAGCCUUCCUCAAUUCAAAGCAAGGGUGGGAUUCCUUCCUGGGUCUCCUGGCUCCAAAUCCAGAGUCUCUCUCUUCCACCAGCUCCUGCCUCACCCUGAUGCAUUAUUUAUGGCCCAUUACUUACCUCCUGUAGGCACCCAGAUGCUGCCUGCUAGAGCUGUGACCUCGCUGAUCCCAUGGCGAGGACCAAGGACCUCGCUCUCCUCUCUCCCCUCCCCCUCGAAGCCUCUCUGGGUCUUGGCAGGCCCCUGGGGUGUGGCACAGCCAGUCCCCACUGCUGACUUGUGAGCACUUUCCUCUUUGCCAAGCCAGUCAACACAUCCAGUGAGCUCCCGGCUUCCUGAGAAAAGCAGCGGCAGCUGCACAGUCCAAACUCACCAUCCCCUUAUCACAGCCCUGGCUCGAGUCACCAGUGUGUGUGUGCACGGGAGGAUGGUGUGUGUAUGUGCAUGUGUGUGCAUGUGUGUCAUGAGAGGAGGGCAUGUGUUUAUGUUAUAUAUGGAGCAGGAGAGGGGCAUGGAUUUAAGAGCUCACAGUUGAACACGUUUGAGUUGCCUCUUCUGGGUCUUGUAGCCAAAAGCUAAGUCACCGUGGCAACUGGGAAGUGGUGCUUAGGUCAAGAGCUAAGGCUGGGGGGAUUCCCUGGUGGUGAAGUGGUUAAGAAUCCACCUGCCAAUGCAGGGGACACGGGUUAAAGCCCUGGUCCAGGAAGAUCCCACAUGCCGCGGAGCAACUAAGCCUGUGUGCCACAACUACUGAGCCUGCACUCUACAGACUGUGAGCCACAACUACUGAGCCUGCGUGCCACGACUACUGAAGCCCCCGAGCCUAGAGCCUGUGCUCUGCAAUAAGAGAAGCCACGCGCAAUGAAGAGUAGCCCCUGCUCGCCGUAACUAGAGAAAGCCCAUGUGCAGCAACGAAGACCCAACGCAGCCAAAAAAAUUUUUUUUUAAUUUUUAAUAAAUUUAAAAAAAGAGCUAAGGCUGGGAGCAGGAUCCCCAAGGCCCCUGGAGCCCACAGCCUUAGAGCUGUGAGACAUUGAGCAAGUUGCUUAAUCUCUCUGUCCUUAUUUGCCUCCUUGUUUACUUCCCUGAGUGGAGGAUUAGACGAGAAUUCCUGUGAAGCAACUAGCGCAGGGCCUGAGGGACAGCGAACGCUGAUACACACCUUUUGACCAGGCACCCUAUCCUGCCUUCCUCUAGGCAAGGAAGGACUAGUUUGGAUCACAAACUCUUGGGAGGAAGGGCACCUGGGGACAGGGAAGGAGAAGCAGAAGCUAAAGUCUUGCAGACCCAACUGGUUGGUGUCUAGGCAGCAGCUGGGUCACCUUCAGCUCAGUUUCCAUGUCCGUAAAAUGGUCAAUAGCUGAAGUUAAUAGUUGCUUAACAUCAUGGCUGGCACCAUGGAAUUCUGGAAGAUGAGAAUGAAAACUCCAGGAAAUUACUUCUUGUACGUUUUCCCUUUUCCUCAGAAUUUAAGGCUUUUGGUACAUGUUAGCACAUAAAACCAGAGGGCAGGCAUUUGUUUCUCCUCCUCGAUUUUAAACUCAAAACUCCCAGGUCCUGAGUGAUUAGCUGAAGUUUCUCAGAAUCAUCUGGAGACCCUGUGACCCACACAGCCCCUAAGCCUUGACUCCGGGACCCUGGUUAGGAGGGACCAGAGGCACCAACAAAUCUGUGUCUUUAAUAAUCUUCCUCAAUGAUUCCAAAGCAGGUGGCCCACUGUGAGAAAUUAGAGACCAAUCCACCGGCUGGGGAUUUUUCCAGAUGCCCCUGGAAGGAGUCCUUUCAGAGUCCUGUCUCCUUGUCCUCCAUCCUAGGACCCUGAGAAUGGAACGAGUGGGCUUCCCCAAACCUCACCACCUCCCACUUCCUCCAGUUUAGCAUUGCUGGUAUCUGUAGCUUGAUUAAUUAAUUAAUUAAUUCUGUAGCUUAAUUAAUCACCAUAACUAUUCUUGGACCCAGGACAACUGAUGUUUGUUCUGUGGAUGCCCCUCCCUGGAAGCACAGGGGAGUGAGCAAAGCUGGAUCCCAGCAAAGUUUUCCCCAGACUUGGGAGCCCAACUUGAAGAGCCUGCCCUUGAACUCCUGCCUAUUGAAUUGAAAAGGACACACACUGGGUAGCUGCCCCGUACAGACCUUGGGCCACAGAAUGAGAUGCAGGGAGCAGGCCUGACAAUGCCCUGUGGACUAGAGCAGAACUGCCCCAGCCAGCAUGCAGACCCCUGAGCAAGAAAAGCAAACACUUGUGGUGGUAAGCCCCUGAAUUUGUGGGUGGUUUGUUACACAGCAUUAUUGCAGCCAUAGCUGACUAGUUCACCAGGAUCAAUCUAUUUUUUUCAGAGGCUCUUGAGGCUAACUUUGCCUGCUUUAAUCUUGCUGUAUGAUUCCUUGCCUAUAGUGAAUCAGCAAGUCUGGUUCUAAGGUUCCAAGUCACUUUGGUGACGCUGGUGGUGCUUUGUCCCCUCCUACUCCAGAACUGGCUAUGAACCUCUUCCAUCUCAUUCAUCCUAGGAGCAACCAUAGUAAUCACCUGCAAGCAUUAACUGCUGACCACAGACUGCUAAUCCAUCUGAAAUGUUCUAUAUAUUUGUCACCAUAAUCCUAUGAACUAGUAACUGAGAUUAUCCCCAUUUUAUAGAUGAGAAGAUCAAAGCUUGGGGAAAUUCACUAGCAAUCCUACCGCUGCCCUGUGGAUCUCAGAGCCGAGACCUGUGUUUUGUGACUGGGGUGUCUGCUUCCCACAGGGGACACGGGUUCAACCCCUGGUCUGGGAGGAUCCUACAUGCCACUGAACGACGGGGCCUGUGCGCCACAACUACUGAGCCUGUGCUCUGGAGCCCAUGAGCCACAACUACUGAGCCCACGUGCCACAACUGCUGAAGCCCACACACCUAGAGCCCAUGCUCCACAACAAAAGAAGCCACCACAAUGAGAGGCCUGUGCACUGCAACGAAGGGAAGCCCCUGCCAGCCACAACUACUGAGCCCACGUGCCACAACUGCUGAAGCCCACGCACCUAGAGCCCGUGCUCCACAACAAGAGAAGCCACCACAAUGAGAGGCCUGUGCACCGUAACGAAGGGAAGCCCCCGUUCGCCACAACUAAAGAAAGCCCACGUGCGGCAAUGGAGA